AUGCAUCUCUGACAGACCUAGAGCAGUUAAUGGCUGCUGCUAAGGUUUCCACUACAGAUGCAAGAAAAAGAAGGUUCUAGUGCUUUCUGUCUGUUUAGCAGUGACAGAUAAGAUUGAAUGUGGGAAUACUGGA
rnacentral:snoRNA from 1 species